UUCUCCCACUCUAGUAGCGGCGUUUGACGGCGGCCCGAAAAGCACGCCGGCCAUGGCGGCGCAGCGGCUGCGCUCGCCGGAGCAGCAUGUCGUGGACGACGUCCGGCGUGCUCCUUCGUCGAGUGUGGCUGCUAGCGUCCGCAUACAUGGCGCAUCAAGGAGGGAGGAUGGGCGACGGCCACCGCGGCAUGAAGGGUGACGGCGACCUGUGCGGCGUCGGCCACACAGGAAGCACGUCCAUUAGGGCGGCGGCGGCGGCUCAAGUUCUUCCCGCGCGUCGUCCCGAGGACGGCGGCGUCACAGCGUCUCCGCCCUCGCAACCGCGGUGGACGCGGUGCGGGCCCCGAAGGGAAGAGGCGGCUACGCGGCGCAUUAGGAAAGGCUGGCAAUGAGAACUUCAAAGCUGGCAGUGGACGUCUGGACAGCAAAUCUGGAAACUUGUAGUGUAUCAAGCAAACCUAUUUGUUUUCCUUCAAAGAUGAGGUAAUCCCAGUUCCUCUGCAUCCAUACUAAGCAAAAGCAUAUACUCUGCUUCAAAUCUAUAUUGGCAACCACCAGCCAUAAAGGAAUGUGGGUACUAUACUUGAAAAAACUCUACACAUGGGUGGUCUAGCAAUAUAUAAGACAACUUAAUUUGAGAGGAAUCGUUUGGUCUAAGAUGAAACUAUUUUUAAUGUUUAGUUAACAUGUUGUACUUAAAUUUGUUUAUGGUUUUAUUAGUUUGUUUGUGGGCGAGAUGUUACUUUUUUACUUUAUUAUUCUAUUACUUAAGUAAUUUUCUUAUUUGUGACUGUGGAAGUACUUAUAUGUUGUGAUUGAUUCGUUCUUUAACCAUGCCACCACUCGUUACACAAUAAUGAGUCUGCUAAACAAGUGUUCCAUCUAAGGUUCCACUUGUUACACAAACUACGAAGCCAAGUAGUCAACUACAAUGGCAACUCCGGCGGCCACCUCGUUGGCCCUCCUCGCCGUCCUCCUCCUGGUGGACUUCACCGCAGAAGCCGGCGUGAUCCGGUGCAGGGACCCCGGCUGCCCCUCCGGCAACCACCGCCCCGGCGAAGGCAUGUACCGCGCCUGCCCAGUAGCGGUCGAAAAGAAGGCGCAAAAGUUAACCAAGUUAUUACUUGAACCGUUUGAAUUCAGCAAAAAACACAUACGCCUUGUUUUCAAGCACGGAUGGACUACUACACUGUUCAAUGUUGCGUUUUUUUCAGAUCUUAUAAUCAAG